CCAGGGUUUGGUAGGGCAAGAGGGCAGGUGGGUGCAAUGUUUCUUCUUUUGAUGUGUUCUUGUCUUCACCUCAGGGACCUGGACGCCCUGCCUGUUGAGGCAAGGUUGUGGAUGUCCCGGGCCUUAUGGUCACUGCUUCGCAUGAUGUGGGGCAGCAUCCAUCUGAACGCUCAUCACUACCAAGGCCAAGGUUUUGGAAGGAAGUCCUUCUUCUCCCAUCUUAGUAUUAGACCAUCGGAUUUGGGACACGGGACUAAGGCCGCUGACUCUGCAUCCCUUACAAGCAUACACAGCUGCCUGCCCUUUUGCCUUGUGUCCAUCCUGGAGCGGCCUUCUGCAAGAUUCUAUGUUACCUGUCCUCGGUCCACUUGGAAUCUCUUGAGAGAGCUGAGUCCUGUGUAUUCCUAGGCCCUGCCACAGGGACCUGGACGCCCUGCCUGUUGAGGCAAGGUUGUGGAUGUCCCGGGCCUUAUGGUCCCUGCUUCGCAUGAUGUGGGGCAGAAUCCAUCUGAACGCUCAUCACUACCAAGGCCAAGGUUUUGGAAGGAAGUCCUUCUUCUCCCAUAUUAGUAUUAGACCAUCGGAUUUGGGACACACGACUAAGGGCGCUGACUCUGCAUCCCUUACAAGCAUACACAGCUGCCUGCCCUUUUGCCUUGUGUCCAUCCUGGAGCGGCCUUCUGCAAGGACCUGUUGUAGGCCUGCUCCUGGUCCUUGCCUUUGGGCCAUGGGCACUUUCCUGGCUCACUGGGUUCAUCCGAAGCCAAAUAACAGACCUGC